GCGGAAGUAGUUCAAUUGGUUAGAGCACUGCCCUGUCACGGCAGAAGUUGCGGGUUCGAGUCCCGUCUUCCGCG
rnacentral:tRNA from 1 species